rnacentral:rRNA from 1 species
GAUGAACGCUGGCGGCGUGCCUAAUAAAUGAAAGUAGAACGCUGAAGGAAGGAGCUUGCUCUUUCCGGAUGAGUUGCGAACGGGUGAGUAACCCGUAGGUACCCUCCCGGGAAGCGGGGGAUAACUAUGGGAAAAGAUACUUAAUACCGCAUAACAGUAGAUGUUGCAUGAUACCUACUAAAAAGGUGCAAUUGAACAACUCCCAGUUGGACCUGCGUUGUAUUAGCUAGUUGGUGAGGUAACGGCUCACCAAGGCGACGAUACAUAGCCGACCUGAGAGGGUGAUCGGCCACACUGGGACUGAGACACGGCCCAGACUCCUACGGGAGGCAGCAGUAGGGAAUCUUCGGCAAUGGACGGAAGUCUGACCGAGCAACGCCGCGUGAGUGAAGAAGGUUGUCGGAUCGUAAAGCUCUGCUGUAAGAGAAGAACGAGUGUGAGAGUGGAAAGUUCACACUGUGACGGUAUCUUACCAGAAAGGGACGGCUAACUACGUG